UACGGGGGGGGCGAGCGUUGUUCGGAAUUAUUGGGCGUAAAGGGCGCGUAGGCGGUGUGGUAAGUCUGAUGUGAAAACUCCAGGCUCAACUUGGAGAUUGCAUCAGAAACUGCCGUGCUAGAGUGUGGGAGAGGAGAGUGGAAUUCCUGGUGUAGCGGUGAAAUGCGUAGAUAUCGGGAGGAACACCUGUGGCGAAAGCGGCGCACUGGACCACAACUGACGCUGAGGCGCGAAAGCUAGGGGAGCAAACAGG
rnacentral:rRNA from 1 species